rnacentral:rRNA from 1 species
GACGACCGGCGCACGGGUGAGUAACGCGUAUGUAAUCUGCCUUGUACAGAGGGAUAGCCCAGAGAAAUUUGGAUUAAUACCUCAUAGUAUUACUGAAUCGCAUGAUUUGGUAAUUAAAGCUCCGGCGGUACAAGAUGAACAUGCGUGACAUUAGCUAGUUGGUAAGGUAACGGCUUACCAAGGCCACGAUGUCUAGGGGUUCUGAGAGGAUGAUCCCCCACACUGGUACUGAGACACGGACCAGACUCCUACGGGAGGCAGCAGUGAGGAAUAUUGGUCAAUGGACGCAAGUCUGAACCAGCCAUCCCGCGUGAAGGAUGACUGCCCUAUGGGUUGUAAACUUCUUUUAUAUGCAAAUAAACCUACUUUCGUGA